rnacentral:rRNA from 1 species
UACAGAGGUCUCAAGCGUUGUUCGGAUUCAUUGGGCGUAAAGGGUGCGUAGGUGGCGCCGUAAGUCAGGUGUGAAAUCUCGGGGCUCAACCCCGAAACUGCAUUCGAUACUGCCGUGCUUGAGGACUGGAGAGGAGACUGGAAUUUACGGUGUAGCGGUGAAAUGCGUAGAUAUCGUAAGGAAGACCAGUGGCGAAGGCGGGUCUCUGGACAGUUCCUGACGCUGAGGCACGAAGGUCAGGGGAGCAAACGGG